rnacentral:rRNA from 1 species
GCGCAAGGCCAUGUCAUCCCUCUCAUGGAGCUGUCCCAGCGCCUCGUGGAGCAGGGCAUCAAGGUCACCUUCGUCAACACGCAGCACAACCACGACCUCAUCCUUGCCUCCCUCCACCUCUCCAAGUCCCAACAUGGCAGCAGCCUCGGAGGGGUCCACAUGGUGUCCCUACCAGACGGGCUCGCCGACGGCGAGGACCGCAAGGACCUCGCGCUGCUCACCCAGUCCUUCUCGGAUGCCAUGCCCGGCGAGCUGGAGAAGCUCAUCGGGAGGGUCUACCAAUCGGAAUCCGAGUCCGGUGCGUACAGGCUGACGUGGAUCAUCGCCGACGCGAGCAUGGCGUGGGCGUUUCCCGUGGCCAAGCGGCUCGGCCUCCGGGCCGCCGCCUUCAACCCGCUGUCGGUGGCCAUGUUCGCCACGAGGAUCCGCAUCCCCGAGCUGGUAAGGGACGGGGUGGUGGACGAGAAAGGCCUGCCGAAGCGGCGCGGCACGUUCCGGCUGGCUCCGGGGAUGCCGCCCAUGCGCGCGACGGAGCUCUCGUGGAACUGCGCCGGCGACCCCAGUGGCCAGCCGGCCAUACUGGACUUCAUCCUCCGGAACAACGCGGCCACCCCACUAGCCGAGGCGGUCGUCACCAACUCCGUCCAAGACCUCGAGCCGGGAGCCAUGGCGCUCUUCCCCGAAGUCCUCACCGUCGGCCCGCUCCUUUCUGACUCCUUGGACAAGCCGGUGGCGAGCUUCUGGGCCGAGGACGCCACCUGCGCGGCGUGGCUCGACGCGCAGCCCGCCGGCUCCGUCGUGUACGUGGCGUUCGGCAGCUUCGCCAUCUUCGACCGGGCGCAGCUCGUGGAGCUGGCCGAGGCGCUGGCGCUGACCUCCCGGCCCUUCCUGUGGGUGGUGAGGCCGGACUCGGCGAGCGAGGAGUGGGUCGAGGACCUCCGCCGCCGCGCCGGGCCGCGCGGCCGCGUCGUGGGCUGGUGCCCGCAGCAGCGGGUGCUGGAGCACGCAUCGACGGCGUGCUUCCUGUCGCACUGCGGGUGGAACUCAACGCUGGAAGGGCUGGUGAAUGGCCUGCCGUUCCUGUGCUGGCCCUACUUCACGGACCAGUUCCUCGACCGGGGCUACAUCUGCGACGUGUGGCGGACGGGGCUGCAGGUGGCCGGCGAGAUGACGACGGGGACGCUCGUGGGGAGAGAGGUGAUACGGGGCAAGGUGGAGGAGCUGCUCGGCGACGGGGAGAUCAAGGCCAGGGCGCUCGCGCUGAGGGACGUUGCUCGCGGCGCCGUCGCAGACGGCGGGUCGUCGCGCCGGAAUCUCGCACGGUUCGUGGACCUCGUCCGAGGAUCAGUGACCUAG